UGCGUAGGUGGUUCUGUAAGUAAGGUGUGAAAUCCCUCGGCUUACCCGGGGAAUUGCAUUUUAUACUGCAGGACUUGAGGACUAAAGGGGAAAAGGGAACUCCAGGUGUAGCGGUGAAAUGCGCAGAUAUCUGGGGGAAGGCCGGCGGCGAAGGCGCUUUUCUGGUUGGUACCUGACACUGAGGCACGAAAGCGUGGGGAGCAAACAGGAUUAGAUACCCUGGUAGUCCACGCCCUAAACUAUGGAUACUACUUAGAAGGUCCUGCAAGGGACUUUUUAACGGAGCAAAAGCGUUAUGUAUCCCGCCUGGGGAGUAUGGUCGCAAGGCUGAA
rnacentral:rRNA from 1 species